rnacentral:rRNA from 1 species
CGAUAUAUAAAUGAUAUGCUUUCGAAAUAGAAAUCUUUUUGUCUAGUCACGUGGUUUUUGGGUUUAUUGUUUGAAAGACUUCCGUCUAAUGCGCUCUAAAUAAACAGCAGUAGUUAUACAUAAAAUAGCUAAAAACGCAUUCUGCAAGAUUUCCCAUAAUUUUAUAUUUUGUGAUCUAUUUUAAAGUAAUUUACAUGUUUAUAAAAUGUAUAAGUCUGAUAUACCUUUUAUUUACAAGCAGUAAAAUUAUAGGUUUUGUAUUUCCGCAUUGAUUGUUUGUAUUUAAUAUUUUUACUGUUUUUUUAAACUUCAUGACAUUAUAAAGAUUUUCAAUAUUUAUAUGAAAUGUAUUUAUGUAUAAAAAUAAACAUUUAUAAACCUAUAAAAUGGUAUAUUUAUACAUUGAAUAAUAUUUUUUAAAACCAAACGUUUGGUUUACUAAAAAAUAUUUUUUUUUUUAAGUUUUAAGUGAGUUUCUAAUUUUACUGUGUACAUGCACACCAGUUAUAUACAUGUGAAAUCUUUUAUUUACUAGUGUGCAUGUACACAGUUUAUAAGUUUCACGUGUUAUUUUUAUAAUUUAUGAUUUAUUAUGGUUGUGUAAACCUAAAUAAAGGCAAAAUUAUAAUAUGGAAAACCCUGUAAUACGUUUUUGCAUAUUAGCCGUCACAGUAAUCUCACUUAAACUAUAAGUAUUGCCUUCAGGUUUAAAAAAGCAUAAUUUUUUGUUUGUAAAUUGGGUAUAAUCACAGAUUCCUAUAAGCAAAGCUAUUUUUUUGUGAACGUGAUAAAUCUAUUUUAUAAAAAAAUUUUGUUUAUGAGCUGUAAAAAUAUACUUUUAUUAGACCCGCAGCUCGUACCUCUUAGAGAUAAAAAUUAAUCUAAAAAAGAUAUAUAAUCUUUUAGGAAAGCCUAUAAGUCGGACUGAUAUUAUAAACCACUGCGACACAAACUUGUAAAAAUAUUUUUUAUAUAAUUAAACAUUUUUAGAUUAGUC